rnacentral:rRNA from 1 species
CCUACGGGUGGCAGCAGUGAGGAAUAUUGGUCAAUGGACGAGAGUCUGAACCAGCCAAGUAGCGUGAAGGAUGACUGCCCUAUGGGUUGUAAACUUCUUUUAUAAAGGAAUAAAACGAGGCACGUGUGCCUUUUUGCAUGUACUUUAUGAUUAAGGAUCGGGUUACUCCGUGCCAUCAGCCGCGGUAAUACGGAGGAUCCAAGCGUUAUCUGGAUUGAUUUGGUUUAAAGGGAACGUAGAUGGGUUGUUAUGUCAGUUGUUAAAGUUUGCGGCUCAACCGUAAAAUUGCAAUUGAUACUGGCAGUCUUGAGUACAGUUGAGGUAAGCGGAAUUCGUGGUGUAGCGGUGAAAUGCUUAGAUAUCACGAAGAACCCCGAUUGCGAAGGCAGCUUACUAAACUGUGACUGACAUUGAUGCUCGAAAGUGUGGGUAUCAAACAGGAUUAGAUACCCCUGUAGUC